rnacentral:misc_RNA from 1 species
GUAAGACCAUACACUGAUCCACAAACAUAAAAUAACAACAAUUAGCAUAUAAACAUAUAUAGUUAGUCCGCGCAACAUGGAGCAGAGCAUAAGCCCAUGGCUCAUUUCGCAAAAUAACACACUUUCUGCAUAUCUGCUAAUUUGAGGACCUUGGAGUGCUUUGUAUGUCAUACUAACAGCUAAAACAGAGAUUACAUAGUAUAAAGUUUCCAGAGUCAAGCAGAGCAAAUCAAGCAUAGAGUCAUUAUGAAAACUCUUCCAAAAAUUACCUAUUUAUUUGUUAAAAAACAAGUACACUAAAAAAAAUACUAUUACAAGAUUCAUUUUCCAAAUCUUCUGUCAGGCUACAUAUAAAGUCAUACUGAACAAAAUUUCUGCAGUACAAAUGGAGAUGGGACACGGUUACAUAAUCAAAAGCUGCGUAGUGUUGUACGAAGUUCAAAUUUUCCUGAUGCUGAUAACUAAGUCUCUACUCAUGAUAAUCUCCCCAAAAAAAAGGUUCUCUACUCAUGAUAGCAAACAAGAAUGGUGCAUAUAGAAAAUUAUCAUGCAAUUGGGUCCAGAAAUUGAAGACAUAAAAAGAAGAAAUUAGAUUAUACCACAAU